rnacentral:tRNA from 2 species
GCGACUGUAGCUCAAUUGGGUAGAGCGUCCGCUUUGCAAGCGGGGGGUUACGGGUUCAACUCCCGUCGGUUGCA